AUUUUUCUUGUAAAUCCAUUUAUAAACAACAGGCUUUAGGCCUUUUGGUAAAUCCAUAAGUUUUCAGUGCAUAGAUUCCAUUUCUAGUUUCAUAGCUUCUUGUCAUUUAUUACAAUCAACAUCUUUCAUUGCCAUCUUGUGUGUCAAUGGAUCAUCAUCACAACCAUCAGUGAUUGCAACAUUGCUUCACAUUCUUCAUGAUAGUGGGUAGGUAAUCUUAUUUCCCUCUCAUUGCGUUGUGGUAGUGGUGGUGAUGGAUUGCAAUUGGUGGUUUCAUUUCUUUGUCAUUCAAUAAUUGUCAUUGGUGUUGGGCCGGUCUCAUAAGCCAACAACUCUUAGAGAACUACUUUGCUUCUAAAUUUGAAAUCUGUCAUAUGGUUAUGUACAAGAAAAAUAGCAUUUAUCAAUACAAAACGCUUUGUUAUCCUGAGCCUUAAAAAGUCCUCCUCUUGUUUAUUUAGGGUAGCCCACAAAAAUGAAUACCUUUGGACGAUGAUCCAGCUUCCCAGCUUUUCUCUUUAGCAUGUAUACUCCCCAUAUGCGGAGAUGUCUUAGACUAGGUUUGUGACCAUUUACAAUUCUAUUUACAAUUCUAAGGGAAUAUUUGUGAUUGACUUAGAUGGAGUUAAGUUUAAAAUGUAUAUUGCUGUUUAAAGUGCAUAUCCCCAAAAUGAGGU
rnacentral:lncRNA from 1 species